GGAUUACACUACAUGGGCUAGCAGCCAUUUCGCAAUGCGUCGACCCGGAUCACUCCCUAUUUCUACAUGCAUAUACCAAACGACAUGUUUACAUUUUUCAUUUCAACAAAGGUUUUGUUGAAAACCCUAGCUGCCUAUGUACUCUCCACCUUCACGUCACGAUUUUGCCGGAAUUGGCAAUGUUUCAGACGUAUGUGCUUUCUUCAGUACUAUCAAGCCAUUUUGGGAAAGUGCAAUUAAUGCUCUUGCCCUCUCUCAUCUGCGCCACACACUUCAGCCGUUGAAGAGUUAAGGUUGCCCCUCUUUUGUUUUUUAUGCACUUUCCCUUAAUUAUUUUUGUCUUGUUUGUGAUUUCGAAUGUUAGGUUUUGAUUGGUUAGUCACACAAUUGGAGGGAAUGCAAGAAGAAUUGCCCCCCAAUUCCACUAGUCCCAGAUCGGUACAAACCCUAGCUAUUGGGUUUUUGGAGUUCUAUAUAAAGAACUCCAUUUCCUCAUUAAGCACACAAACACGAAUAUACUUUCUAUUUGGUAAAAACCCAUUCCAAGGUGUUUGAACUGAUUUGUGAGACACUUAGGAUUUUGAUUUGCCCGAAACUCUUGAUUAUUCUAAAAAUUAGUUUUAGUUUGUUGAAAUCUACUUUUCUUCGCGGUUUGAGUGGUUUUGUGGUGUGGAGAAAGCAAGAAGGAUCUUCAAACUCCAUUCUCGACGAAGGCUUCCACUAUAAAAGUGAAAUCUUUUUUCGAUCUGAAAUUUUCCAUGGCCGGAGUGUGGAGAUUUUCCGGCUGCCCUUUUUCUUGUUCCGUCUCGAUGAAGGGCUUUCAGUGGAUGGAUGUUACUUUAUCUCGAUUGGAGUUGAAUUUGAGAUCAAGGGUAGACAGGGAGACGGUGCGGAUCCGUAGGAGCUUAUCAGCAGAUUCACAUGAGCUCUCCAUUAUUCCGGAAGUGCUACUUUUGAUUAUAUUCUUUUCUGUUUAUAUUCUGGGCAUGACGGGGUCCUGUCCCGUCUUAUGUCUAGUGCUAUAGUAGAGGCUCAUAGAUACGUAUGUGUGGGUAGUAUGGUCUCAUGAUCUCCUCAUUGUAUAUAUGUACAUGUAUAUUAUUAUUUUGAUAGCCGAAGGGCUUAUGUAUAUAAAGGUAGUUAUGUC